rnacentral:rRNA from 1 species
AACGAACGCUGGCGGCAUGCCUAAUACAUGCAAGUCGAACGAGAUCUUCGGAUCUAGUGGCGCACGGGUGCGUAACGCGUGGGAAUCUGCCCUUGGGUUCGGAAUAACUUCUGGAAACGGAAGCUAAUACCGGAUGAUGACGUAAGUCCAAAGAUUUAUCGCCCAAGGAUGAGCCCGCGUAGGAUUAGGUAGUUGGUGAGGUAAAGGCUCACCAAGCCGACGAUCCUUAGCUGGUCUGAGAGGAUGAUCAGCCACACUGGGACUGAGACACGGCCCAGACUCCUACGGGAGGCAGCAGUAGGGAAUAUUGGACAAUGGGCGAAAGCCUGAUCCAGCAAUGCCGCGUGAGUGAUGAAGGCCUUAGGGUUGUAAAGCUCUUUUACCCGGGAUGAUAAUGAGAGUACCGGGAGAAUAAGCUCCGGCUAACUCCGUG